ensembl:lncRNA
AUGAGAUUACUCUUAUAUUUUACUGUACUCACCCAACUGCUGAACAUGUCUACCACCGCCGCAAACGAUGAAGACCAAUGGCAAAUUGAAUCCAUCGAAGAGUCCCAGCAACAAAUAAGUCAAGAAGCGGAAGACAUUCAAGACGAAAGCAACGCUUCUGUCCGUCGGAGCUCUCGCCUGGCGAGUAAAUCAUAUAGUCCUCCAAGUAUCAUUGAAUGGCCACUGCCGAAGUUACUGGAAACCUUGUAUAGACACGAUAUCCCUGCACCGACUGGAGCUACGCAUAAGGAACUGUUUGCUUUACUCUGUGAGAAAAUUGACGUCCCAGCAGCAGAUUUCCCUCCUCCUCCUCCUUUUUCCGGCAGGAAACAGGCGCAGAAGAGAAAGAAUUUCGACCCGGCUUCCACUCCGACUGAUGUUGCACCCAAGCGGGCAGGUGGUUCAGCCGUCUCAAACAGAGCAGUCAACUCUUCUUCAGUCCAAAGCAAAGACCCAGUGUUGUCAGCAUUGUCAAGCAUUCAGUUUUCGCUCUCCAACAUGAACUCCAGAAUUCAGGCUCUGGAGUCCGGUUCAACAUCGAGGUCCUCGGCAAAUCUUCUCUUCUCCGGCCCGCUUGCUGAGAACUCCUCAUCGGCCACUGCGCCGGCGCGGCUGCCCGGGCUUACCCAGCAGCAGGACGAUGACGUCAUCAAUUCGGGGACUAUACCACGAAGAACGAUGGGAAGUGCAGUUCCAGUGUCUACAGGCUCUCCAUUCUUUCCGCCGGCUGCUGCGAUUUCUCAUCAGUUGAGAAGCCAAAUCGUUGCAGGUAAUGAUGUUAAUCUUGUGAAAAUAUUGCUGUGCUCAGAAAUGAGUGAGAAGCGUGUUGUUGACUGUGGCGAUGUUUCUGUUAUGCUUAAAGACAGCGAUCCCCGGCUUUCAAAAAUGUUAACUCUAGCUGAAUUUAACGUGGCAUUUGGGGUUUACAGAGAUGUCAUAUGCGAAGUCUAUCCGUCUCGUAGAGCCGAGCUUGACACAUAUUUAGCAAUUAUUUCUGACUUGGCUUUGACUUAUGGAGGAACUCUCUUCUAUGACUAUCAUAAGUCAUUCUCUGCAAAAGCUGCUAUGUUCAUUCAACGUUUCAAUCAGAGAUUGGACUGGUCUGUAGUCGACUUAACCCUCAUAAGCAGACAUUUCACUGGUCAUCAGGCUCUCUCUUGCUCGAUCUGUGGCUCUCAUUCUCACACUCUCAAUCUAUGCCCAAAAUCUGUGUCUCCUCCACCCUCUAAGCCUGGCUUUCAAACUGUUGACUCUAAGGUAACAUCAUUUGCUACUCCGUUGUGCUAUAAUUUUAAUGAAAAUGUUUGCAAAUUCUAUAAUUGUAAAUAUGUUCAUGCUUGUAGUUACUGCGGGGACGGCCACCCAAAAUCUGUGUGCCCAAGACGAACCCGCUUUAUGAAAAAGGAGAAAAAGAAAUAA